AAAACAUCUUUUCUUGAUUUUAUUUGAAAUUUGACCUGCCCAAUGAUUUAUUUAAUGGCCGCGGUAUUAUGACCGUGCAAAGGUAGCAUAAUCAUUAGUUUAUUAAUUGUAAACUUGUAUGAAUGGUUGGACGAAAUAUUAACUGUCUCAUAAUUAAAUAUAAAAAUUAAAUUUUUAGUUAAAAUGCUUGAAAUUUUUUUGUUGGACGAGAAGACCCUGUAGAUCUUUAUUAAUUAAUAUUUUAAUUUUAUUUGGUUUAUUUAUUAUUAAUUUUUUAUUUUUUUUUGGUUGGGGUGAUUUGGAGAUUAAAAUAACUCUUUAUUUUAUUUUACAAUAAUUUUUGUAUAAUUGAUCUUUUAUUAAUGUUUAUAAGAUAUAGAUACCUCAGGGAUAACAGCGUAAUUCUUUUUGAGAGUUCAUAUUGACAAAGGAGAUUGCGACCUCGAUGUUGAAUUAAGAUUAUUAUUAGGUGUAGGUGCUUAAUUAUUAGGUCUGUUCGACCUUUAAAUUCUUACA
rnacentral:rRNA from 1 species